UACGAAGGGGGCUAGCGUUGCUCGGAAUCACUGGGCGUAAAGGGUGCGUAGGCGGGUCUUUAAGUCAGGGGUGAAAUCCUGGAGCUCAACUCCAGAACUGCCUUUGAUACUGAGGAUCUUGAGUACGGGAGAGGUGAGUGGAACUGCGAGUGUAGAGGUGAAAUUCGUAGAUAUUCGCAAGAACACCAGUGGCGAAGGCGGCUCUCUGGACCGUAACUGACGCUGAGGCGCGAAAGCGUGGGGAGCAAACAGG
rnacentral:rRNA from 1 species